rnacentral:lncRNA from 1 species
UGCCUGAGAUGAUCACCGGUAACUAGAGUCCUAAAAUAGACACUUUUGUGAGUCACUUUUUCUCGAAGACCUUUUUCUGCUGCAUCUUUCCUGCAGGUCUCUUCUGAAGCCAGGAGAACUUUGCUGUUGUUUUCCCUUCUCUGUUUCUGACAUGAAAGGCAGCCCCCCCUUUGCCAGGCGGCCUCCCUGGACACCUGAGCAGCUGGAGCAUCACUAUCAGGGCACAACCCUCGCCUUUCUUUACUCCCAGGAGGGUGGAAAGUGGGACACAGCACUGGGACACAGAGAAACGACAGAUGACAGAGACUUUCUAUCUGAAAGGCAUGUCCUAUUAUCCUCAAACAUCCUGCCUCCAGCACGUCCCUGAAUGGCCACGAGGGACCCUAUCAUGCUUUUUUGCCCUGGGCUUUCCAAAGCACCCUCUCAGUACCGCUGCCCAGCUGCUCUCCCAGGGUAGUCAAGUCCCUCUGCCAUGGACUCACAGACAAGGACUGCCUCUUGUCCUUGGGCACCUCCUCCGUCCCCGGAUCAACAAACCCCAUAAACCCUCAUCUUCCUAUUCAGUUUUCAGAAAUAGACCCUCUGGUAACAGUCAACAGAGAUCCUCCUAGAGCCAACCUCACCAACUGGGAGAAAUUGCCUGGUUCACCACCUCAUCAGAGAUCAAUAGAAAAACAGUGCCAUGACAGAUGAGGGAUGCCUGUCUGUGACAGGUCAGGGAGGGGGACCUGGGAGUACUGCAGGUCUGCCAGUUGCCAUCUCUUACUAAACCCCUCCCCUACUUCCCCAAGGCUUGCACCUUAUCUCCGCAACCGCUAGUCCUAUAAGUGGGGUGGGAGGUUCCUCUCACAUACAAUAGAUAGAGCAACUAAAUAACCUCACCCCUGGGCUAGGAGGUCAAGGCCAUGGGACUGCCUCAGUCCUGCAGGAGGACGGAACUGGUCACUGAGGACACGGAGAAUGCCCCACGGCAUCCCCAGGCCCUCAAAUUUAAUCACGUUCCCUUUCUUGCUGCCUUUCCCUCUUUCUGCCACCCUCCUGGACCUUGUCCCCACUCUUCUCAUUGUAGUGAUCAUUCCAUUCUAAUAAACGUGUUUCUUUCUUUCCUAUUACUGUUUGUUGCAGGAUAUCGCAAACAGUUGCCUUGUGCUAUAGUCCCGUGUGUCUUCAUCUCCUACUAGACUACAGAUUCUGCUAAGGCAGGAACCACAAUCGCCUCCUGCUUGGGUAGAGUAGUCAGGCAAAGAAUGGCUUCUCAGUAAACGUUUUUCAGCUGAGUCUCUGGAUGAAGGGCUAAAAGUGAGUUCUCUCAGCCUCUGUAUGGGCAUUAAAGGACAAGGCAGAAAAACUCCCAAACUGAACUCCAACCCCUUAGAUUUCUAAAUCACCGCUGCUAGUCCUCUAGAAUUUCACCAUUGUUCUCACAUGUGAGUCCAAGAAUAUUCAGGUGGAAUUUCAAAGGAAAUGGAACCUUCCAGAUGGGGUAGGGUUUGGGACCGACAUUCAAAUAAACUCUCUCUCUCUCUCUCACACACACACACACACACACACACACACAGAGAGAGACAGACAGAGAGAGGCAGAGACAGAGGCAGAGAGAUGAGAAUCACAUACUUGUAAGAACACAGACAUUCUGCUAAAAUGCUGAGUGCUUUGCCACCCAAUGCUGUUGAAGUCCAUUAAGCCCUUCAGACUGAACUCUAAGUUUUCCAAAGCAAUCAAAGAAAGAAAGAAGGGUAGACACAAGAUUUCAGUAAGUUCUAUGAGGCAAUUCAAAAUCAGGUUUUCAGAGGUUCCUUUCAGAAACCGCAUUGGCCACCAGAAUAUUUAUUAACACAGUCCUUCAGCACAGGAAAGCAUUCACUGAACAAACGUAAAUAUAUUUGCAAAUCCGUGUGUUAAAACUAUUUCAUUAUUUCACCCAAAGUUCUCUCUAUAAAAAGAAAAACAUACCGAAUUUUAUAUCCUGUCUUGUGUGUACCGCCCAGGCAGCUGGGUUUCCUUAGUUCAAAUAAAAUUCAAGUUCUUCAAAUAUUUCAAGGUUUGGGAUGCUGUUUUAAACCAGUUGGAAACAGUAUCGAUGCCAAAUGUAUGACUAGAAAUGAGGUUAUUUAUGUCAGGAUGGUUUUCGAUGAAAAUACAGAGAAAACGAUUGUGAAGAGAUAUGCAGCUGAAAUUAUGAUUCACCACUGUGAUCAAACCCAAGGCGCUAUCCUGCUUUUUAUGUUUCAAUUAUGUUUCCAUACACAUGCCCAGGGGGCAACAAUGGCAUUUUGGUUACAUGUUUACACCCUACCUCAAAAUGGAAAGGAAUUUGGGGUAGCUAGGAUGCCACUUGCUGAUAGAAGGCUCACCGAAUUUUUAUUUUCUCAAAUGCAAACUGAUUUUCCCAGCUUUAAGUUUUAUUUUACAGAAGGAAUGGCAAGGUGGAUUAGAGACCGAAGUGCUAGGAGUGCUGGUUGGGUCCUGGUUUCUCUCUUCUUUUUAUAGCUGCACCUGCAGCAUAUGGAAGUUCCCAGGCUGGUCCUUUUCAUAAUUAAAAAGAACUGUAUCAGUACCAUCCUUGGUCUAACGUCUGUUCCUCUUGCUAGCUUACCACUUCCACAAGGAUAAGGACAGAGACUGGGUCUGUUUUGUUCACCACCUUGUCCUCACACAGAGUUAAACCCAAUACCUGCCCCUUGAGGUAAUGAAUGACAAAUUUAACAGGCAUUGAGAUGAUGCAUAAGAUGAUGCAUAAGAUGCUGAGUAAGAGUUCAUUACCAUGGGGACACCAUCGCAUGGCUUUGAAGACACUGGACAAGCCAGGGUCAAGGUCCCACUUUGCAGACAGAAACAAAGAAACAACCCCAGCCCUUCCCCUGUCCUCUGGCUCAUCCUCUGUCUUAUGUGAUGUCUCAACAUGACACCUCCAAUUACCCUGGGGUGCACCUUCAAGACCUGGACUGUCUAACAUGGAAGCCCCUAGCCAUAGGCGGUUAUUAAAUGCACAGUGAUUAAAAUGAACUAGAAACGCAGUUCCUCAGUCACACUAGGCACCUUUCAAGGGCUCCAUAGCCAUACGUGGCCAAUGGCUACCGUGCUGAACAGUAUAGAUACAGAUGCUUUACUACUACAAUAUUUUUUUUGUCCAGCCCUGUUCUAGCGCCUGCCUAGCCCAACACACACUGUAUUUCUGGGUCAUCCUGGACCACACAGUCCCCCACCUGGCUUUUGCCUUCCUUCCUAACAUCCUACCUAGAACCAGCCGCAGCUGAAGGCUCACUGCUGGUCUUCUCUGAAAGGACACAGUGAGAUUUUAAAAGCUUUCAUCUGUCAAAGAACCUCUCUGAUCCUUUCCUUCUAUUCAAAAGAUUUCAGUCUGCAGCCAUACCACCCUGAACGCACUCAAUCUCGUCCAAUGGGUUGUCAAUGUUCUAGGUUGGGUUUUUUCCCCAUUAUUUGCAUAUCCUUUGCUAAUGCCGGCCCUCAAUGCUGCCCCUUGUGUCGCUGGGCUACUCCUGGAGGAUCUGACCUCAUUCCCCAAGACCCGCCCUCUAGAGUCUAGGCUAAGCCCCAGGUUGGUUUCUCAUCACUUCUGUCCUUCUGAUAUUCUGGCCCGUUUGUUUCUAAAGAGAACUUGAGGCUGCUGAGUAACAGCUCCAAGAUCUGCAUUCAUCUCUCACUUUUCAUAUAAUGCUUGGGAAGAAAUAGCUGGAGAGAAAACCUAUGCAAAUCUGCUUUCCUGAAAUGGACUCUCUUCAUUUGGGGCUUAUUCCUAUUGAGUUCAUCAUGGAUUUGGUUAUUUUAUGAUCAUUUCCUCCAAGGCUUCUGUCUAAUCUUUAGAUUAGAGCUUUAGCGCAGUAAUUCUUUCUUUCCUCUUUCAUAACAUUGCAUUAAAAAGGGAUUUCUGUCGUCAUUGAUUCUGCCCUGCCUGAUGUUCAUGAAUUAUCCUCGUGCAGCUGCUGGGUUUCAUCUGGCUUCCUCGAGAAGCUGACAUGGGGACAAAGAUUCAAGUUUCCAAGUACCUCCACUGGAUCCCAGAACAAAACUCAAGAAGAUUUAUUGAAAUACAAAAAUACCUAGCACUCAACAUUCGCAAUGUCUGGACAACCAGUAAACGAUUACCAGGCCCGCAGAAGAGCCAGAAAAUAGGAGUUCCCGUUAUGGGUCAGGGGAACGAAUCCAAAUAGGAUCCAUGAGGAUGCAGAUUCGAACCCUGGCCUCGCUCAGGGAGAUCUGGGUUGGGGAUCUGCUGUUGCCAUGGCUGUGGUGUAGGCCAGCAGCUGCAGCUCUGAUUUGAUCCUAGCCUGAGAACUUCCAUGUGCCUAGGGUGCAGCCCUAAAAAGCCAAAAACAAAACAAAACAAAACAAAACAAAAGGCAGGGAAAUAGGACCUGUGUUGAGGUAUUGAGGAGAUAAAGAGAUAAAAC